CUUGAACCUGGGAGGUGGAGGUUGCAGUGAGCCAAGAUCGCACCACUGCACUCCAGCCUGGGCAACAAGAGCGAAGCUCCAACUCAAAAAAAAAAACAACAAAAAAAUUAUGACAGAGAAAGAGAUCUGACCUAACCAACUCCAUCUUGCCUUUAACCUCCAAGCUGCCCUGUUCAUUCCUGGGCAUAGGCUGAACUUAGUUUAUAGUUUAACUUUGAAACAAAGAUGCUAACAGCCCUUUCCCUAAACAAACCCCUUCCUGCCUGAGGACCAGACUGUCUUUGUAAGACUAACAGGUUAGCCAUAAGAUUUGAAAUUAUGGUUUAGGAGUCACGCAGCUGGCUACAAGAUUCUGAACCUUCCCAGUUCCUCCUAGGGAUAACAUCGCGAUUGUAAAACCUAAGAUUGGCACUUGAGGUAUUUCUCAGACCCUGCACUGCUGAUGCACUCUGAUGCACAAACUGGUGCCACCCAGGCCUGUAAUCUGGCUCAACCAGUUCUGCGAUCCUACCCAGGAACAGAAGACAGCAAGAAUCCACUUCAGGCGGAUGAUUCACGCCUGUAAUCCCAACACUUUGGGAGGCCGAGGUGGGCAGAUCAUUUGAGGUUAGGAGUUCGACACCAGCCUGGCCAACAUGGUGAAACCUCAUCUUUACUAAAAAUACAAAAAUUAGCCGGGCAUGGUAGCGCAUGUCUGUAAUCCCAGCUACUUGGGAGGCUGAGGCAGGAGAAUUGCUUGAACCCGGGAGGCAGAGGCUGCAGUGUGCCGAGAACGCGCCACCACACUCUAGCCUGGGUGACAGAGGGAGACUCUAUCUCCAAAAAAAAAAAAAAAAAAAAAAAAAUCGACUUCAACCCCCGUAUGAUUUCAUCUUCAGUCUGACCAAUACGCACUCCCCAAUCCCUGGUCCCAGACCUGCUGAAUCAUCCUUAAAAGACCCAUUUUUGAAUUUUCGAGGGGCUGAUUUAAGUAAUAAUAAAUUCCAGUCUCCUGUUUAGCCAGCUCUACAUGUAUUAAACUCUUUCUAUUGCAAUUCCCCUGUCUUGAUAAAUCGGCUCUACCUGGGCAACGGGCUAGAACUUGUUGGGCUGUUACUAAGACAGUGUAAGAUCAAGCUUCAUUCUGGCCCACUCUCCCCAUCUCACCCAGAAGAGGUGGCCUCCUAGGCUGCCCCUUCCUCUCUUGAUCUGACUGGGAUUUCCCCCCUGUUAGGGAGCUCUGGAAGAACCCCCAGUCCCAGGCCCCACCUGGCUCUGAGCUGGGUUUACAGGAAGCCCCCUGUGCACCCCUGUCCCAUGAGGUCAUGUGGAAAAACCCUGGGAAACUCUAACACCUGCUGCAGGUGCUGGCUGUUCCUUUUUUUUUUCUUUUUUUUCAAGCUGUAGAAUUUCUCUGCCAUGCAAAACUUGUUGAUAAUAAUAUAACAAACAUUUCCAUCUCUAUUGCCCUGCUUAGGAAAUAAAUCUUACGGGGACACUGGAAGACUCUUGGGUGUCCCUUCCUGAUCCUGUUCCCCACCUCUGUCACCAGGGGUAACCCAAACCUGAACUGCGUGUUUAUCCAUAAAUGAUAAGUGGUAUUGCUUUGCAUGGUUUUAAACUUUCAGUAGCGGUUUCUGUCUUUUAUUCAUUCAUAAACUCACAAACAUAUACAUAUUGAGAACCUACUGUAUGUGAGGCACCAACCUAAGCCCUGGGAACAUCCGUAAACAACAGAGAGGAUUACUGCUCUCAUGGGACACACAUUCUGGUGGGGUGAGCCAAACCAUAAACAAAAGAAUUGAAGAACACAAGUAUCUGGCAUGAAGAAAAUAUCCUACAAGUUUGCAGAGAAAAAGUGGAUUUCAUACAAAGGAUCAUGGAUCCGAAUGGCACUGGAUUCUUUAACAGCGUCAGUGGGAACCGGAACAUGAUGGAGGAAUAUGUUCAAAAUUCUGAAAGAAAGAGUUUGUAGUUAAAUUAGUGACGAAAAUUAGUAAACCAAGCCAAUGGUAAAAACGAGACAAUUGGGCCGGGUAGAGUGGCUCGCACCUGUAAUUCCAGCACUCUGGGAGGCUGAGGCUGUGGAUCAUCUGAGGUCAGGAGUUUGAGACCAGUGUGGCCAACAUGGCAAAACCCCAUCUCUACUGAAAGUACAAAAAUUAGCUGGGCUUGGUGGCGCGUGCCUGUAGUCCCAGCUACUCAGGAGGCUGAGAUAGGAGAAUCACUUGAACUUGGGAGGUGGAGGCUUCAGUGAGCCAAGACUGUGCCAUUAAACUCCCGUCUGGGGGACAGAGAGAGAUUCUGUCUCAAAAAAAAAAAAAAAAAAAAGCAAGACAAUUAUUAACUCUGAAAAUCUUGAAAACAGAUUUGCAGUCAGAAUAAAGCAAAUAACGAAUAUUGAUCUGAUCAGAAUGACAAAUAACUAUAUUGGGAGGCUGUGGGGGGUGGGAAUACAUGUAUUAAUAUGCGUUUUGUUCCAGGGUGGGGGGUAUUGUGAGUGAGUGAUUGAUGAGAGCCAAAUUCUCCCCUUCCAUAAUGAAAAAUCACUAUAUAAUGUAUAAACCUGAAAAAUCAAGAAGUAGCAAUAUAAGCAUGGUAUUUAGAGAAAAUACACUAAAUACUUAAAGGAUUGAAAUAGUAUCUCUGAGGCUGUGUAUGGUGGCUCAUGCUUGCAAUCCCAACAGUUUGGGAGGCCAAGGCAGGAGGACUGCUUGAGCCUAGGAGUUCAAGACCAGCUUGGGCAACACAGGGAGACCCCUGUCUAGGAUAAAUGAUAAAAGUUAGCUGGGCAUGGUGGCACAUGCCUGUGGUUCCCACUACUCAGGAGGCUGAGAAGGGAAAAUCACUUGUACCCUGGAGGUCGAAGCUACAGUGAGCCGAGAUCAUGCCACUGCACUCCAGCCUGGGAGACAGAGUGAGACCCUGUCUCAAAAAAGAAAAAAAAAAAAAAAGUAUCUCUGGGACUGAAAAAGCAGAGCAGGGCCAUGACUGGGGGAGUGGCUUCAGGGAAUUGCUGAUUUUUGUAACAAAUCUUGUAGAAUUUUUUGACCUUUGAAAUCAUGUGCAUGUAUAACUUGAUACAAAUUAAAGUUAAAUUUAAAAGCUCCCCUGAGAUUAGCAGCCUUGAACAUAUGUCUUUCACAUCUCUUCAUUUGUUUCCUUAGGAUAAAUUCCAGAGGUGGGACUGCUGGGUCAACAGGCAUAAGUGUUUUCAAGACCGUAUCACCCACAGUGGUAAACAGGGCACCCAUCUUUCCCUUUCCAGAGGGUUAAUAGCCUUUACUUGCCAGUCUUUGCAAACACCAUUAUCAAUUUUCACAUCUCUGCCAAUCUGAUGGUAAAACGUGGUAUUACAUGGUAGUUUUAAUUUGUGCUUCUUUGACUACUAAAUAGUUUUACAUAGUUAACAUAUUUAACCAUUUUUAGUUCUUCUUUUAUUAAUUUCCUGUUACUGUUAUUUGUCCAUUUUCUUCACCUUUUUCACUCUUGAUUUGUAAGGGCUCUUUAAAUAGCAAGCCUGCUCAUUCUCUAUCACACAUUGCAAAUAUUUCCCCCACAGUGGGCCCUUCUCCUUUCAAUGUUCUUUUUUGAUAUAAGGGAUUUUUUUGUUUUUAUAUAGUUAGUCUAUCACUUAUGUUUUUGGCCUUGGGGUUAUGCCCGGAAAGCCCUGGCUCAUCCGUGGGCCUUUUACAAGCGCAGCAUCUCCUACAGCUUCACCUACUAUUCCUAUCGAGUAUUUCAUCAACUCCAAGUUUUUCACAUUUUUAAUCUCUGAAACUGGGAUGGUGCUCAGGUAGUAGUCACUGCCUGCUGCAAAUCAGGAUGUGCAGAAAACAUCAGUGAUUUGUCAACAAAAGUCCCAGAGACGACAGUGGGGUAUUCUGCAAGAAAUGCUGCAACGUCACCUGUUUCUUUUUCCUGCUGGGCACGGAAGGAGGUAACAUUUCUCAGCCUCCCUUGCAGUUAGGAGUGGCCGCGUGACCAGGUUCUAGCCACUGGACUGUGGGUGGAGGUGAUACAGGUGCCUUGCCCGGUUGGCCCAUAAAACCUCCCACAAGAUCCUCUACUGUCUUUCUUCCUGUUUGCCGUCAGAGGAGCUGGCAGUGGCUCUGGGGGAUGGCACAAGCAGUGGAGGUCCCUGAAUGGCCACAUGGGAGGCAGCUGGCUAACCAGGGAUUCUCACUGCUCUUUGUGUAAACAAGUAAUUUACUUCCAUUGUGUUCAGCCAUUGAGGUUUGGAGUUAUGUUCCUCACAGCAGCUAGCAUUGCUGAUACCUAACUGACACCCUUGUCUUCAUUCUGACUCUAAUCCAAACUCCUCUAGACGGGGUUUAGUGUUUUAUCAUUAGUAUGAUGUUGAUUCUUGAUUUUAGAUAGAUACACUUUAUCUUGUGCUCUUUUAAAAAUCAAGUCUUAGUAUUGGAGUUAUGCAAAGUGUGUAAAAUUAAUUGGAAAAUUUUUAACUUUUUUCUAAGCUCUGGGAAAGGUUGCAUAGCACAGAAAUUAACUGUUGGGUGAAACUGACAAAAUUCAUCCUAAGAACUGUGUGUGUCCUUUUGUAAGAGCACUGCUUUAACAAGCUUUACUUUUUUUAAGACAGAGUCUUGCUCUGUCGCCCAAGCUGGAGUGCAGUGGUACCAUCUCAGCUCACAGCAACCUCCACCCCCUUGGUUCAAGCAAUUCUCAUGCCUCAGCCUCUUGAGUAGCUGGGACUACAGGUACUCACCACCAUGCCUGGCUAAUUUAUUUAUUUAUUUAUUUAUUUAUUUAUUUAUUUAUUUAUUUAUUUAUUUAGUAGAGAUGGGGUUUCACUAUGUUGGCCAGGAUGGUCUUGAACUCCUGACCUCAAGUGAUCAGCCCGCCUUGGCCUCCCAAAUUCCUGGGAUUACAGGCAUGAGCCACCAUGCCCGGCCUACUUUCUUUUUCUUUUCAAACUAACUUUUGUUAUAGACUAAAUUGUGUUUCCCCAAAAUUCAUAGGUUGAAGCCCUAAACCCCAAUGUGACUGUAUAUGGAAACAAGGUCUUUAAGGAGGUAAUUAAGGUAAAAUGAGGUCACAAGGGUGGGACCCUCACGCAAUAUGACUGAUGUCCUUAAAAGAAGAAAGACACCAGGGACACGUGUGCACAGGGCAAAGGCCGUGGGAAGACAUAGCAAGAAGGUGGCUGUCGGCAGGCCAAGGAGAGAGGCCUCAGAAGAACUAAGCCUGCCAGCAUCUUGAACUUGGACUUCCAGACUCCAGAACUAUGCAGAAGACGUGUUUGGAGCCAUCUGUGCCUCUGAAACAGACCCCCAUACAAAAGUGCUGUCUUGGCCCUACGAGACAGCUCAUGUGGGGCUGGGAGGCACCUGGGAAGUGAGGCCCACAAACAUGUCAGAGAUCUCGGCCUCAGCACCAGAGUGACAUCAUUUGAGAAAGACUGUUCUAGUCCAACCCUGCAGUUUUAUAGAUGGAGAAACUGAAGCCCAGAGACGGAAAGUGAUACUGAAAGUGAUUUCAACAGCUGGACUCAGAGUUGGUCUGAGACUCCUGGUCUGACACCUUUGAAUUCGGUCAGGGGCAGCCCUGGCUGUGCGUGCUCACACAUGGCAAUGCACGGGAGAUCUGCAGCCCGGACAGGAGCUGGAGCACGUGGGAAGGACAUGAGGCAAAUGCUCAAGGACUCGAGAACAGCAGGCCCCAGUGGUGGGAGGGGCACCCUUUGAGCACUGUUACAUGGGAAGGCCAUGGCACGGCGCCAGGCUCAUGGCAGGGACUUUAUUCUCUUCCAAACUCCAACCAUGAAUCCACCCAGGUGUAAACCUUCUACAGUAAGCCAAUUGUGCCUACUGAAGCUCUGUAGACAAGUGCUGCUCAAAAUGUCACCUGCAGACCUGUGCUGCUCUGCAAACGCUUGGUUAGAUGUCCAUGAAGGGGAAUAAGAAGCUCGCACUGGAAUGUACGUUACUGUCACUCAGCGGGCUAUUUAGUCCUGCUGACUUUUUCCACAGCAAGACUUUCUCAAUAAAGGAAGCAGGUCACUGAUUUACUCUCUGGGGCAAAAGCUGCUUAACUCAUGGUAACAAAGUUUGUGGCCCAGCUACUUUCAGGCUGCUUCUGGGGACACUAACCUGAGGUGUCCAAGCAUCUCUGAGUGGUACCCAGGGAAAAUUAUGAAGGCAUUAGGCAAAAGCUAGUAGUUUAAAAAAUCAUAAACGCUAUAAUAAUAAAAAAUGAGAGGUUACCUCAAUAUAAAAAGAGAUAAGUGGUUAAAUAAGUUAUAUAUGUCCUCUUAAUGUAGUUGACAGCACUUAUAAAAUAAGAGGUUGAGGACUUUAUAACGGGACGAAGAAAGGCUUAGGAUAUGACAGGAACUUACAACAGAAGUAUGAUAUAAAAUGGUGUGAGCAGCCCCCACGAACACGUAGAGAAGAUAUAUGUGCUCACACUCACCUACUCGGAAGGAAAUGCACAAAAAUACAAAUAGGGGAUUUGUUAGGGUGACGUAAUGAUUAAGUUUUCUUUUCUUUUCUUUUUUUUUAAUUUGAGACAGUGUCUCACUCUGUCGCCCAGGCUGGGGUGCAAUGGCGCCAUCUCAGCUCACUGCAACCUCUGCCUCCCAGGUUCAAGCGAUUCUCCUGCCUCAGCCACCUGAGUGGCUGAGACUACAGGCGCCCGCCACCACGCCCGGCUAAUUUUUUUCAUAUUUUUAGUAGAAACGGGGUUUCACCAUGUUGGCCAGGCUGGUCUUGAAUUCUUGACCUUAG
rnacentral:lncRNA from 1 species